rnacentral:rRNA from 1 species
UACGAAGGGGCUAGCGUUGCUCGGAAUCACUGGCGUAAGCGCACGUAGGCGGAUCUUUAAGUCAGGGUGAAAUCCCAAGGCUCAACCUUGGAACUGCCUUGAUACUGGGAUCUCGAGUCCGGAAGAGGUGAGUGGAACUGCGAGUGUAGAGGUGAAUUCGUAGAUAUUCGCAAGAACACCAGUGGCGAAGGCGGCUCACUGGUCCGGUACUGACGCUGAGGUGCGA